GGGUUUGCCCUAGUACGGCGAGUGAAGCGGCAACAGCUCAAAUUUGAAAGCUAGCCUUCGGGUUCGCAUUGUAAUUUGUAGAGGAUGAUUUGGGGAAGCCGCCUGUCUAAGUUCCUUGGAACAGGACGUCAUAGAGGGUGAGAAUCCCGUAUGUGACAGGAAAUGGCACCCUAUGUAAAUCUCCUUCGACGAGUCGAGUUGUUUGGGAAUGCAGCUCUAAAUGGGAGGUAAAUUUCUUCUAAAGCUAAAUAUUGGCGAGAGACCGAUAGCGCACAAGUAGAGUGAUCGAAAGAUGAAAAGCACUUUGGAAAGAGAGUUAAAAAGCACGUGAAAUUGUUGAAAGGGAAGCGCUUGCAAUCAGACUUGUUUAAACUGUUCGGCCGGUCUUCUGACCGGUUUACUCAGUUUGGACAGGCCAGCAUCAGUUUCGGCGGCCGGAUAAAGGCUCUGGGAAUGUGGCCUCCACUUCGGUGGAGGUGUUAUAGCCCGGGGUGUAAUACGGCCAGCCGGGACUGAGGUCCGCGCUUCGGCUAGGAUGCUGGCGUAAUGGUUGUAAGCGACCCGUCUUGAACCACGGACCAAA
rnacentral:rRNA from 1 species